GCUUAACUCCUGGCUUGCGGUGGAUACGGGCAGACUUGAGUUCGGUAGGGGAGACUGGAAUUCCUGGUGUAGCGGUGAAAUGCGCAGAUAUCAGGAGGAACACCGGUGGCGAAGGCGGGUCUCUGGGCCGAUACUGACGCUGAGGAGCGAAAGCGUGGGGAGCGAACAGGAUUAGAUACCCUGGUAGUCCACGCCGUAAACGUUGGGCGCUAGGUGUGGGGAUGGGUUCCACUGUUUCCGUGCCGUAGCUAACGCAUUAAGCGCCCCGCCUGGGGAGUACGGCCGCAAGGCUAAAACUCAAAGGAAUUGACGGGGGCCCGCACAAGCGGCGGAGCAUGUGGAUUAAUUCGAUGCAACGCGAAGAACCUUACCUGGGUUUGACAUGCACUGGAUCGCCCCUGAGAGGGGGUUUCCCUUGUGGCUGGUGCACAGGUGGUGCAUGGCUGUCGUCAGUUCGUGUCGUGAGAUGUUGGGUUAAGUCCCGCAACGAGCGCAACCCUUGCCCUAUGUUGCCAGCGGGUGAUGCCGGGGACUCGUAGGGGACUGCCGGGGUCAACUCGGAGGAAGGUGGGGAUGACAUCAAGUCAUCAUGCCCCUUAUGCCCAGGGCUUCACACAUGCUACAAUGGCCGGUACAGAG
rnacentral:rRNA from 1 species